CACGCCGCCGCCUGCAACGGCUACGCUCCCCGAUUCAACGGCGCCCGACCCGCCCGCCCGUCGUUUGGAAGGGGGAGGGAUUCAUCGUACGGCGCGCCAUUCGGCAGGAGGCCCAGCAGCUACCAGCAGUCGCCACUGGGCGACCUGUACGGAGAGGAGCCGGCUUGCGCGGGGCGCGGUUACGGCGGCCGCUGGAACUCCUCCUACGGCGUCGGCGGCGCCUGGCAACCGAGGGGCGACUACGUGAGGGACGAGAAGCGGCCCAGAGUCGAACGCGAGGACAGGGAGAGGGGGCGGGACCAGGACUGGGAGAGGCUCCGGGGUCGGGACCGGGACCGGGAUAGGGACCAGAAAAGGGACAGGGACCGAGACAGGGACAGGCGCAGGAGCGACUACGACGGCAGGCCCGCGAGGCGGCACGAGCGCAGCGACAGGCACCGGCAGCCCCGCGGCCCCGAGGAGGGCCGGUGACCUGCUGCCAGGCCGGGCCGCGGCGUUGCGCCGCGCCCCACCACCUGCCUCCUCUCUUGUAAAUAGCAGCGUGAGAGUGUCUCCAACAUGUUCGUAAAUUAGUUUCUCGUUUGCAACUUCACUUCGGAGGUAAUUUUUUAUUUUUCGCAUCAACUUCACCAUAUGCAGAGCGACGUCACCUGAGGCUGGAGCAGAAAGAAAGUAAAUCAAUCGUACCUACUCACAUUUGUUAUGUUUUCCUUUGGGCCUGUUUCCCAAUACAUAUAUUUGCAGUUCGUUUGCUGCUUUGCGUACUCAUCUAGUUUUAUACUUCACCAUCGGCACUUAUAGACGAAACUUGUAUUAUUUGUCAGCUUAAGUAGUAGAGCAAUAGGGAAUCUCAAGAGUGCAUCACAGCAGUUUUCAUUUGUUGCUGGUAUUAAACAUUCUUUCUUUGGAUUUUGGUUAAGAUUCUUUUAAUACAUAACUGUAUGUGUAACUUACAGUGGAAGAGAUUUGUAUGGACUGCUGAAUGAAUAAAUGGCCUAGCUUGCAACAGUUGACUAAAUCUUAUUUAUGCAUAAUAAAAAUUCUAUACCAGAAUCAA